rnacentral:lncRNA from 1 species
GGCAACUGAACUCUCUGAUGUUCUCCCCCCCCACCCAGGUGAUUCUGUCUCUGUUCCUCAGUGACUUCUAAAUUAAAUUGUCAAAACAUGUUACAGAGAGAAAUAUCUCCAGAGAGGGAAACACUUCAUCCUUUCAUCCCAACUUGGCAGCAAGGCCAGUUUGAUAUGAGAAAAUACUUGCCCAGUCUAUUAUCUGGCUCCUCUCCUUUCAUAUGCCUACUUUUCAUGACCCAUCACAAUGAAAUCCACCCUGAGUUCUUCUGAAGUUUCCAUGGACCACCCACCUCAGAGAGUUGUAACACUGAAUUUUAAGUUUGGCUCAAUUUGUUACCUCUUGUCUUUGAUUUAUCAUGCACAGAUUGCGCUCUUUUAUUUUCCCCUUGGAGAGAGGGACUGUGUGACCUUGAUCAAGUAGCUGUUCCUCCCUCUCAGCCCCAGUUUCCUGUCAAGAAGAUGUCUAAGAUCGCCUGACCUUCAAGAUUCUAUAAUCUACAUGGGUUCUUAAUUUUUAGUAGAAGAGAAGAGUUCUGCUGAAAAGAAAGAUGUUUCAGCACCUUGGAGAAGGACAUGAAAGAAGGCCGUGAUGUAGGGAGGCUGCAUCACUUCAACAAACAUUUAUUAGGGUCCUACUGUGUACAGAGAAAUGUGCCAGGUAAUAAGAAAGGGAAGAGUUUAGAUGAGACAUAGUCCUUGUCAUCAUAGGGUUUACAGUUUACCAGGGGGAUAAGACAUCAAAAAAGAAAUGAUACAUGAUAUUACAUGUGUACUUUGUAUGGAUUUGCAAAACAGUGCUAUGUUAAGUAAGGUGGGAAGAUCAUUACUAAUUGGAGUAUCAGGGAAGGGAUUCAUGGAUGAAAUAGUUUUGAUUGGCUUUUAAAGGAUGAGGUAGGAAUUCAGCAGGCAAAGUAGGGGGAAGAAGGACAUUCCAGACAUAGGGAACAGUUUGACAAGAGACCUAGAGACAAUAGAGUGGAAUGCAUGUAGACGGGACAGAAAGUUGUUCUGUUUGUCUGAAGCAUAGAGUGCAUGGAAGGGAUUUAUGAGCUAUGAGACUGUAUAUGGUAGGUUGAUGCCACAUUGUGGAGGACCCUGGAUACAAAGUAAAUAAGUUUGAACUUUACUUGAUGGAUG